CUUGCUUUCUUUGCUGGCGACCGGCGCACGGGUGAGUAACACGUAUCCAACCUGCCCUUUACUCGGGAAUAGCCUUUCGAAAGAAAGAUUAAUACCCGAUAGCAUAAUGAUUCCGCAUGGUUUCAUUAUUAAAGGAUUCCGGUAAAGGAUGGGGAUGCGUUCCAUUAGGUUGUUGGUGAGGUAACGGCUCACCAAGCCUUCGAUGGAUAGGGGUUCUGAGAGGAAGGUCCCCCACAUUGGAACUGAGACACGGUCCAAACUCCUACGGGAGGCAGCAUG
rnacentral:rRNA from 1 species